UCGAUCUUUUCCUUCAGCUCAGCAAACUUGCAAGCAAUGUGAGCUGUGUGACAAUCCAGUACAGGGGCAUAACCAGCACUGAUUUGUCACACAGCUCAUAUU